GGGGGUAUAGCGCAGUUGGGAGCGCGCUUGACUGGCAGUCAAGAGGUCAGGGGUUCAAGUCCCCUUAUCUCCACCA
rnacentral:tRNA from 1 species